rnacentral:rRNA from 1 species
AAUUUGCGGCGGCCUUACACAUGCAGUCGAGCGGUAGCACAGAGAGCUUGCUCUCGGGUGACGAGCGGCGGACGGGUGAGUAAUGUCUGGGAAACUGCCUGAUGGAGGGGGAUAACUACUGGAAACGGUAGCUAAUACCGCAUAAUGUCGCAAGACCAAAGAGGGGGACCUUCGGGCCUCUUGCCAUCAGAUGUGCCCAGAUGGGAUUAGCUAGUAGGUGGGGUAACGGCUCACCUAGGCGACGAUCCCUAGCUGGUCUGAGAGGAUGACCAGCCACACUGGAACUGAGACACGGUCCAGACUCCUACGGGAGGCAGCAGUGGGGAAUAUUGCACAAUGGGCGCAAGCCUGAUGCAGCCAUGCCGCGUGUAUGAAGAAGGCCUUCGGGUUGUAAAGUACUUUCAGCGGGGAGGAAGGUGUUGAGGUUAAUAACCUCAGCAAUUGACGUUACCCGCAGAAGAAGCACCGGCUAACUCCGUGCCAGCAGCCGCGGUAAUACGGAGGGUGCAAGCGUUAAUCGGAAUUACUGGGCGUAAAGCGCACGCAGGCGGUCUGUCAAGUCGGAUGUGAAAUCCCCGGGCUCAACCUGGGAACUGCAUUCGAAACUGGCAGGCUAGAGUCUUGUAGAGGGGGGUAGAAUUCCAGGUGUAGCGGUGAAAUGCGUAGAGAUCUGGAGGAAUACCGGUGGCGAAGGCGGCCCCCUGGACAAAGACUGACGCUCAGGUGCGAAAGCGUGGGGAGCAAACAGGAUUAGAUACCCUGGUAGUCCACGCCGUAAACGAUGUCGACUUGGAGGUUGUGCCCUUGAGGCGUGGCUUCCGGAGCUAACGCGUUAAGUCGACCGCCUGGGGAGUACGGCCGCAAGGUUAAAACUCAAAUGAAUUGACGGGGGCCCGCACAAGCGGUGGAGCAUGUGGUUUAAUUCGAUGCAACGCGAAGAACCUUACCUACUCUUGACAUCCAGAGAACUUUCCAGAGAUGGAUUGGUGCCUUCGGGAACUCUGAGACAGGUGCUGCAUGGCUGUCGUCAGCUCGUGUUGUGAAAUGUUGGGUUAAGUCCCGCAACGAGCGCAACCCUUAUCCUUUGUUGCCAGCGGUCCGGCCGGGAACUCAAAGGAGACUGCCAGUGAUAAACUGGAGGAAGGUGGGGAUGACGUCAAGUCAUCAUGGCCCUUACGAGUAGGGCUACACACGUGCUACAAUGGCGCAUACAAAGAGAAGCGACCUCGCGAGAGCAAGCGGACCUCAUAAAGUGCGUCGUAGUCCGGAUUGGAGUCUGCAACUCGACUCCAUGAAGUCGGAAUCGCUAGUAAUCGUAGAUCAGAAUGCUACGGUGAAUACGUUCCCGGGCCUUGUACACACCGCCCGUCACACCAUGGGAGUGGGUUGCAAAAGAAGUAGGUAGCUUAACCUUCGGGAGGGCGCUUACCAACUUUGGUUACGGGU